rnacentral:rRNA from 1 species
AUUGAACGCUGGCGGCAGGCCUAACACAUGCAAGUCGAACGAGUGGCGGACGGGUGAGUAAUGUCUGGGGAACUGCCCGAUGGAGGGGGAUAACUACUGGAAACAGUAGCUAAUACCGCAUACCAUCGGAUGUGCCCAUAUGGGAUUAGCUAGUAGGUGGGGUAAAGGCUCACCUAGGCGACGAUCCCUAGCUGGUCUGAGAGGAUGAUCAGCCACACUGGAACUGAGACACGGUCCAGACUCCUACGGGAGGCAGCAGUGGGGAAUAUUGGACAAUGGGCGCAAGCCUGAUGCAGCCAUGCCGCGUGUAUGAAGAAGGCCUUCGGGUUGUAAAGUACUGUCAGCGAGGAGGCGUUACCCGCAGAAGAAGCACCGGCUAACUCCGUGCCAGCCGCCGCGGUAAUAC